AUUGAACGCUGGCGGCAGGCCUAACACAUGCAAGUCGAACGAGUGGCGGACGGGUGAGUAAUGUCUGGGAAACUGCCUGAUGGAGGGGGAUCACCACUGGAAACGGUAGCUAAUACCGCAUACCAUCAGAUGUGCCCAGAUGGGAUUAGCUAGUUGGGGGGGUAACGGCUCACCAAGGCGACGAUCCCUAGCCGGUCUGAGAGGAGGACCAGCCACACGGGAACUGAGACACGGUCAAGAUUCCUACGGGAGGCAGCAGGGGGGAAUAUCGCACAAGGGGCGCAAGCCUGCUGCAGCCAUGCCGCGUGUAGGAAGAAGGCCUUCGGUUGGUAAAGUACUUUAAGCGGGGAGGCGUUACCCGCAGAAGAAGCACCGGCUAACUCCGUGCCAGCAGCCGCGGUAAUAC
rnacentral:rRNA from 1 species